AGCAGCAGACAAGAAGCACAGUGAGGAGUGUUGUGUGACUCUCGCAUUGGAUCAAGGUGGAUGGGGAUUCGAGCCCCUUCACUGCACGCGCUGUGUUCAGACGCCAAGGUCUUUAUUUGAACAGCACACCUGAGUGUCCCUCUCCCAUCUCUCCUGCCACUGGUGCUGCUGGAGCCCUGCUCCUACCCUCUCAGGACUCAAUCUCUAGAGAAGUGUGCCUCAGUGGUAAGGACUCCGCCUGCUAAUGCAGGAGAUGCAGCAAGUUUGAUCCCUGGGUCAGGAAGAUUCCCUGGAGGAGGAAAUGGCCAC